GAUCUCUGCCCUGUGCUCAGUUAACUUUUUUGCGGCCGCCUCUUAUUCGCUUGGUGCAGGUCGGGACCUCAUUCGCCGGCGCCGGAAAUAAUGACGGACGACGGCGGUGUUAAUUCUACUAAGUUGUCAACGACGAAUAUAUUUUGAUUAGCGGCGAAAUUUGGGUCCUGCCUUGCAUCAACUGAAUUGGAGACAGCUGUGAAUUGAAGAUUUCGGAUUGAUUUCAGCUAAUUUAGAUUCGGUUUAGAUCGAUCUAGUAUUGGCGAUUUGCUUCGACUCAGAUUGGAUUUGCCUGGAUCUGACUUUGUAGAUUGUUCCUGAUUCUGACUUCUCAAGACUGAAAAUGGUACUGGCAUGAGGUAGAUUUUUAGGGUGGAAAUUUUUUGGCCUUGUAAUAGUUGAAUUGAAUUUAAUUAAGGGUUGGUAGAUGUUUCAGGCUAAUAUUGAUAUCUUACUACAAUUCACUCUCAUCACCUAAUACUACUAGUGAUUGUCACUACAGCUCCGUUCAACUUCAAAUGCAGCUAUGCCAUCAGAGGAAGGAGAUGAGAGUGUCCAUGGUAGCUUGCCAAUUUUUAAUGUUGGUACCCUCUGCUAUGUAUGUGGAUGGCAAACUCCUCGCAUACUCUGUCUUCUAUGAAUCUACCAGUCUGGGAUCUAAUCUGAUUGCGUUCCCUCUAGAUAAUGGCAACUAACAUUGCAAAUAAGCAGAUUUCUUAAUCUAUUAACAUGUAAUAUUGUCAUUCUGCAGAUUGUCUACAAAAUCACCACCAAAUGAAAAUGGAUGUUAUGUGUGGCUACUCUGUUGUGGGAUUUGAGCUACACUUGGUCCUUAUGCUAUGUACAUUUACUAGUUUUAUUUGUUAGUGCAGAACCAUGCAUAUCAUAUAAAAAUGUUCCCACAGAAAAAAAACAUCUGUU